rnacentral:rRNA from 1 species
ACGGGAGGCAGCAGUGGGGAAUAUUGGACAAUGGGGGAAACCCUGAUCCAGCGACGCCGCGUGAGUGAAGAAGUAUUUCGGUAUGUAAAGCUCUAUCAGCAGGGAAGAUGAUGACGGUACCUGACUAAGAAGCCCCGGCUAACUACGUGCCAGCAGCCGCGGUAAUACGUAGGGGGCAAGCGUUAUCCGGAUUUACUGGGUGUAAAGGGAGUGUAGGCGGCCAGACAAGUCAGGUGUGAAAACCCGGGGCUUAACCCCGGGACUGCACUUGAAACUGCCCGGCUAGAGUGCAGGAGAGGCAAGCGGAAUUCCUAGUGUAGCGGUGAAAUGCGUAGAUAUUAGGAGGAACACCAGUGGCGAAGGCGGCUUACUGGACUGUAACUGACGUUGAGGCUCGAAAGCGUGGGGAGCAAACAGGAUUAGAUACCCUGGUA